GAUGAACGCUGGCGGCGUGCCUAAUACAUGCAAGUCGAGCGAACAGACGAGGAGCUUGCUCCUCUGACGUUAGCGGCGGACGGGUGAGUAACACGUGGAUAACCUACCUAUAAGACUGGGAUAACUUCGGGAAACCGGAGCUAAUACCGGAUAAUAUAUUGAACCGCAUGGUUCAAUAGUGAAAGACGGUUUUGCUGUCACUUAUAGAUGGAUCCGCGCCGCAUUAGCUAGUUGGUAAGGUAACGGCUUACCAAGGCGACGAUGCGUAGCCGACCUGAGAGGGUAAUCGGCCACACUGGAACUGAGACACGGUCCAGACUCCUACGGGAGGCAGCAGUAGGGAAUCUUCCGCAAUGGGCGAAAGCCUGACGGAGCAACGCCGCGUAAGUGAUGAAGGUCUUCGGAUCGUAAAACUCUGUAUUAGGGAAGAACAAAUGUGUAAGUAACUAUGCACGUCUUGACGGUACCUAAUCAGAAAGCCACGGCUAACUACGUG
rnacentral:rRNA from 1 species